UACGGGGGGGGCAAGCGUUGUUCGGAAUUACUGGGCGUAAAGGGCUCGUAGGCGGCCAACUAAGUCGGACGUGAAAUCCCCAGGCUCAACCUGGGAACUGCGUCCGAUACUGGAUGGCUUGAAUCCGGGAGAGGGAUGCAGAAUUCCAGGUGUAGCGGUGAAAUGCGCAGAUAUCAGGAGGAACACCGAUGGCGAAGGCAGCACUCUGGGCCGGUACUGACGCUGAGGAGCGAAAGCAUGGGGAGCGAACAGG
rnacentral:rRNA from 1 species